UUGUCGACGACGCGUUCUGUGGCCCUGGAAAAUGCCUUGACGCUCGGGGACGGCCGGUAGCUCGGCGAUUCCUCGCUUGGCGCACCAUUGAAAACCGGCGGUCAUCCAGCAGUGUACGCUGCCAGCGUAUUUUUUAUUGCCAGAGGUAGCAAACAGCAGUGCCACAACAAACAGUGGAGUGCUGACCAUGCAGUCCAGAAGGUGGCUGAGGCAAGUAUGCUAUAGGAGGUGCUUAUUCAGGCAGAAGCAUCUGUAGCCAACGUAAAGGAAGCAUCUUCAAAAAGCACUGCUACAAGGAUGUGAGCAGCAGUUUCCCUUCAACGAACGGGUCAAAUUCAUGGAAGCCACGUGCCUGCUGCUUCUGGCCUACACAAACAUGCAGCCACCAUAGUAAAGUUCUUGCAAAGACAUUCUACACGAACUUGCCCAAAGGCGGAAGGAAGGCACGCACAGAUGGACGCACAGAAAUCAUGGGGCUGCCGUAGAAGCUGUGAAUGAGCAUUAACCUACGUACAGAAAGGAGCGAAGUGGAGCUGUCCAUGGGCCGUGCACACAGUUUCAUAAGCAGGCUUGCAACACUUUUGACAAAUAUGUUCCUGAAUACAUCUGCCAAAGUGGCAUUUA